CUCAAAUAGAAGUCGACUGUCACAGAAGAAGAGAGGUUUGCAGUCCAUCAUAUGUGAACUGAGCUGAAUUGAAGGGAAAAGGGAACAUUUUAAGAACCUGUUCGUCGGAAAAAGAAGGGAAUCAAUUUCAUCUUGUACCGAUCUAUAUGGGGAUUGCAUUGACAGGAUGGGGACCAGAAAGAUCAUAUCAGUUUUCCUGAUUCUAACAGUUCUUUACGGAUCAGUCCAAACUCAAACAACUGCAGCAACAACAGCUACAACUGCUGCACCAACAGCUACAACUGCGGCAACGACAGCUUCAACUGCGGCAACGACAGCUACAACUGCGGCACCGACAGCUACAACUGCGGCACCGACAGCUAC